rnacentral:rRNA from 1 species
GAGCGUGUGGAGGACCGAACCCACCUAGGUUGAAAACUGGGGGGAUGAGCUGUGGAUAGGGGUGAAAGGCCAAUCAAACUCUGUGAUAGCUGGUUCUCCCCGAAAUGCAUUUAGGUGCAGCGUUACGUGUUUCUUGCCGGAGGUAGAGCUACUGGAUGGCCGAUGGGCCUUCACGGGUUACUGACGUCAGCUAAACUCCGAAUGCCGGUAAGUGAGAGCGUAGCAGUGAGACAGUGGGGGAUAAGCUUCAUUGUCGAGAGGGAAACAGCCCAGACCAUCAACUAAGGCCCCUAAGCGUGUGCUAAGUGGGAAAGGAUGUGGAGUUGCUGAGACAACCAGGAGGUUGGCUUAGAAGCAGCCAUCCUUGAAAGAGUGCGUAAUAGCUCACUGGUCAAGUGAUUCUGCGCCGAUAAUGUAGCGGGGCUCAAGUACACCGCCGAAGUUAUGGCAAUCAGCCUUUUUGUGGCUGGUUGGGUAGGGGAGCGUCCUGCAUGAGGUGAAGCUGCCACGGGAGUGUGUGGUGGAUUGUGUGGGAGUGAGAAUGCAGGCAUGAGUAGCGAAUCACGGGUGAGAAACCCGUGCGCCGGAUGAUCAAGGGUUCCAGGGUCAAGUUAAUCUGCCCUGGGUUAGUCGGGGCCUAAGGCGAGGCCGACAGGCGUAGUCGAUGGAUAACGGGUUGAUAUUCCCGUACCAGUGAAGAACCGUCCAUACUGAUAUUGUGAUGCUAACCAUGCCGAACACAGUGUGCUGCUCUUUUGGGUGGUGUGUUGUGGGGUGUGUGGGACCCAGGCUUUGGAGGUAAGCGUGUUAACAGGUGUGACGCAGGAAGGUAGCCAAGCCACGCGGUGGUUGUCGUGGUCUAAGCGUGUAGGAUGGUUGGUUGUUAAAUGCGCCAGCUGUGUGUCUGAGACGUGAUGGGACCCCGUUGUUGGGGGAUUUGGUGAUCCUAUGCUGUCGAGAAAAGCAUCGGCGUGAGGUUUGAGCUGCCCGUACCCGAAACCGACACAGGUGAUCAGGUAGAGAAUACUAAGGCGAUCGAGAGAAUCAUGGUUAAGGAACUCGGCAAAAUGCCCCCGUAACUUCGGGAGAAGGGGGACCUUGAGCGUGAUGGGCACUUGCUGCCUGGAGCGUGUAUGGGUCGCAGAGACCAGGGGGAAGCGACUGUUUAUCAAAAACACAGGUCCGUGCGAAGUCGUAAGACGAUGUAUACGGACUGACUCCUGCCCGGUGCUGGAAGGUUAAGAGGAUUGGUUAGCCCUUUUUGGGCGAAGCUGAGAAUUUAAGCCCCAGUAAACGGCGGUGGUAACUAUAACCAUCCUAAGGUAGCGAAAUUCCUUGUCGGGUAAGUUCCGACCUGCACGAAUGGAGUAACGACUUCCCUACUGUCUCAACCAUGAACUCGGCGAAAUUGCAGUACGAGUAAAGAUGCUCGUUUCGCGCAGCAGGACGGAAAGACCCCGUGACCUUUACUAUAGUUUGGUAUUGGUGUUUGGUUUGGCUUGUGUAGGAUAGGUGGGAGACUGUGAAGCAUGGACGCUAGUUUGUGUGGAGUCGUUGUUGAAAUACCACUCUGGUCAAUCUGGAUGUCUAACUUCGGGCCAUGAUCUGGUUCAGGGACAGUGCCUGAUGGGUAGUUUAACUGGGGCGGUUGCCUCCUAAAGUGUAACGGAGGCGCCCAAAGGUUCCCUCAGCCUGGUUGGCAAUCAGGUGUUGAGUGUAAGUGCACAAGGGAGCUUGACUGUGAGACUGGCAGGUCGAGCAGGGACGAAAGUCGGGACUAGUGAUCCGGCGGUACGUUGUGGAACGGCCGUCGCUCAACGGAUAAAAGGUACCUCGGGGAUAACAGGCUGAUCUUGCCCAAGAGUCCAUAUCGACGGCAUGGUUUGGCACCUCGAUGUCGGCUCGUCGCAUCCUGGGGCUGGAGUCGGUCCCAAGGGUUGGGCUGUUCGCCCAUUAAAGCGGUACGCGAGCUGGGUU